CCCUUAGAUGUUCUGGGCCGCACGCGCGCUACACUGAUGCAUUCAACGAGUCUAAAACCUGCUCUGAUAGGGGUGGGUAAUCUUUUGAAUGUGCAUCGUGAUUGGGAUAGAUGAUUGCAAUUUUUCAUCUUCAACGAGGAAUGCCUAGUAAACGCAAGUCAUCAGCUUGCAUUGAUUACGUCCCUGCCCUUUGUACACACCGCCCGUCGCUCCUACCGAUUGAAUGAUCCGAUGAAUAUCAUGGAUUGAGGAUGCAAGUAGGUUAGCCUAUCUUCAUCUUCGAGAAGUGAAGUAAAUCUUAUCAUUUAGAGGUAGGAGAAGUCGUAACA
rnacentral:rRNA from 1 species